GAAGGGCAAGGAUUAUCUCCUAUUCUGUAAUCUGAAUCAAUAAACCUCCAAUGAAGAGGGAAAAAUGCAAAAUGAAAACCUUUCUUGAUCUUUAUUAUUAUUGAACUUCAAAUAAAAAAGCCGUUGCCCCCUACUCAAGGUUUGGUCUCAUAUUCACUGAAAAAUCAAAAUUACCUAUUCUAAGUGAACAUAAAUAAUAUAUAUAAACUUACAUAUAUGUACCAAGUAUUUUAAUAAUUCAUCAUUUCAGCUUAAACAAUUUAUUAAUUACUAUUCUCAAUCUACAUAUUUCAAAAAGUAGAUAUUUUCACCACAAAAUAUUAGUUUCUUCAAAGUGAGGUUAGAGGAAAGUCUCCAGAGAAACCUAUGAAAAAACUAGCACAAGGAGAGACAGAUAUUUACAAAUUGGUAAAGAUAAGGGAAAAGAAAUGUCAAGAAUUAAAUUGAGUUAGGCACAUAAGAGAUGAUGAUGGGAAGGUUUUGAUAAAGGAAGUGGACAUUAAAGAUGUGUAGAGAAGUUACUUUAACGGGCUUGUAAUUCGUAGUAAUUUAAGAAUAAAAUCUGCCCAAAAAUUACAAAAUGAUUAACAGUUAUCAGCUAUUAACUAACCAAACCAGCCUGAAUACGCUUAAAUGAACAUUUCUCUCUAUCUUUAUCUGGCACAACAAUGAUAUAG
rnacentral:misc_RNA from 1 species